AACGAACGCUGGCGGCAGGCUUAACACAUGCAAGUCGAGCGCCCCGCAAGGGGAGCGGCAGACGGGUGAGUAACGCGUGGGAAUCUACCCAUCUCUACGGGAUAACGCAUGGAAACGUGUGCUAAUACCGUAUACGUCCUUCGGGAGAAAGAUUUAUCGGAGAUGGAUGAGCCCGCGUUGGAUUAGCUAGUUGGUGGGGUAAGGGCCUACCAAGGCGACGAUCCAUAGCUAGUCUGAGAGGAUGAUCAGCCACACUGGGACUGAGACACGGCCCAGACUCCUACGGGAGGCAGCAGUGGGGAAUAUUGGACAAUGGGCGCAAGCCUGAUCCAGCCAUGCCGCGUGAGUGAUGAAGGCCCUAGGGUUGUAAAGCUCUUUCACCGGUGAAGAUAAUGACGGUAACCGGAGAAGAAGCCCCGGCUAACUUCGUGCCAGCCGCCGCCGUAAAAC
rnacentral:rRNA from 1 species